UAGCCACGGUAAUACCAGCUCCCCGAGUGGUAGGGGCUAUUAUUGGGCCUAAAGCGUCCGUAGCUGGUUUUGUAAGUCUCUUGUUAAAUCCAACGAUUUAAUCGUUGGACUGCGGGAGAUACUGCAGAACUAGGAGGCGGAAGAAGCCGACGGUACUCUUGGGGUAGGGGUAAAAAUCUUAUAAUCCCCAAGAGGACCACCAGUGGCGAAAGC
rnacentral:rRNA from 1 species